rnacentral:rRNA from 1 species
GACAGAGGUGCCAAGCGUUAGGCGGAAUCACUGGGCUUAAAGCGUGUGUAGGCGGGCGAUCGAAGUACCUUGUGAAAUCCCACGGCUCAACCGUGGAACUGCUGGGUAUACUGGUUGUCUUGAGCCAGCUAGGGGCGAGCGGAACAGACGGUGGAGCGGUGAAAUGCGUAGAUAUCGUCUGGAACGCCGAAGGUGAAAACAGCUCGCUGGGGCUGCGCUGACGCUGAGACACGAAAGCCAGGGGAGCGAACGGG